UUCCGGUUGAUCCUGCCAGAGGUCACUGCCAUCGGGGUUCGAUUAAGCCAUGCGAGUCGAGAGGGUUCAGGCCCUCGGCGGACUGCUCAGUAACACGUGGAUAACCUGCCCUAAGGUGGAGCAUAACCCCGGGAAACUGGGGAUAAUACUCCAUAGGUUAGAGAUACUGGAAUGUUCUUUAAUCAAAAGUUCCGGCGCCUUAGGAUGGAUCUGCGGCCGAUUAGGUAGUUGUUGGGGUAACGGCCCAACAAGCCUGUAAUCGGUACGGGUUGUGGGAGCAAGAGCCCGGAGAUGGAAUCUGAGACACGAUUCCAGGCCCUACGGGGCGCAGCAGGCGCGAAAACUUUACAAUGCAGGAAACUGUGAUAAGGGAACCCCGAGUGCCCGUAUACGCGGGCUGUCCGGGUGUAUAAAAAGCAUCUGAAGAAAGGGCCGGGCAAGACCGGUGCCAGCCGCCGCGGUAAUACCGGCGGCUCGAGUGGUGACCACUUUUAUUGGGCUUAAAGCGUUCGUAGCUGGACUCUUAAGUCUCUUGGGAAAUCCCGCGGCUCAACCGUGGGGCGUUUAAGAGAUACUGGGAGUCUAGGAACCGGGAGAGGUAAGAGGUACUUCGGGGGUAGAAGUGAAAUUCUGUAAUCCUCGAGGGACCACCGAUGGCGAAGGCAUCUUACCAGAACGGCUUCGACAGUGAGGAACGAAAGCUGGGGGAGCGAACGGGAUUAGAUACCCCGGUAGUCCCAGCCGUAAACGAUGCGCGUUAGGUGUACUGGUGACCACGAGUCACUGGGGUGCCGAAGGGAAACCGUGAAACGUGCCGCCUGGGAAGUACGGUCGCAAGGCUGAAACUUAAAGGAAUUGGCGGGGGAGCACCACAACGGGUGGAGCUGCGGUUUAAUUGGAGUCAACGCCGGA
rnacentral:rRNA from 1 species